AUUGAACGCUGGCGGAAUGCUUUACACAUGCAAGUCGAACGGCAGCACGGACUUCGGUCUGGCGGCGAGUGGCGAACGGGUGAGUAAUGUAUCGGAACGUGCCCAGUCGUGGGGGAUAACGUAGGGAAAAUUACGCUAAUACCGCAUACGAUCUAUGGAUGAAAGCGGGGGAUCGAAGGACCUCGCGCGAUUGGAGCGGCUGAUAUCAGAUUAGGUAGUUGGUGGGGUAAAGGCCCACCAAGGCAACGAUAUGUAGCGGGUCUGAGAGGACGACCAGCCACACUGGAGCUGAGACACGGUCCAGACUACUACGGGAGGCAGCAGUGGGGAAUUUUGGACAAUGGGCGAAAGCCUGAUCCAGCCAUUCCGCGUGCAGGAUGAAGGCCCUCGGGUUGUAAACUGCUUUUGUACAGAACGAAAAGGUUUCUACUAAUACUAGGAGCUCAUGACGGUACUGUAAGAAUAAGCACCGGCUAACUACGUGCCAGCCGCCGCAGUAA
rnacentral:rRNA from 1 species